rnacentral:sRNA from 1 species
GAGCAGGGUCCGAGGGCUGUGUCAGAAGGCUGGGCAGCCAUGGCGUCCUAUUUCGAUGAACACGACUGCGAGCCGUCGGACCCUGAGCAGGAGACGCGAACCAACAUGCUGCUGGAGCUCGCAAGGUCACUUUUCAAUAGGAUGGACUUUGAAGACUUGGGGUUGGUAGUAGAUUGGGACCACCACCUGCCUCCACCAGCUGCCAAGACUGUGGUUGAGAACCUCCCCAGGACAGUCAUCAGAGGCUCUCAGGCUGGUGAGGACACUGAUUCUUUCUGCUAUUUGGGCCAGACCCACCCCUUCCCCAAGCCAGACUGUGGUCUGGUCCUUCAGUUUUCCAGGUCAGGUGGGGGUAAGUGUCCUUCAGGAGUGGGAGCUUGGGAGGCAGAGCCUGUAGCAGCUCUCCUGAUCAGCACUCCUUCCUAAAGAGCUCAAGUGCCCCGUGUGUCUUUUGGAAUUUGAGGAGGAGGAGACUGCCAUUGAGAUGCCUUGCCAUCACCUUUUCCAUUCCAGCUGCAUUCUGCCCUGGCUAAGCAAGGUACUGCUUCUCUUCUUCCAGCUCUCACCCUGCCCUGGGCCCAGUACUCAAGCUUCUUUCUGUUCAUGGACUGCUGGGGGAUGGA